AAUCUGCCUGGUAGUGGGGGAUAACGUUCGGAAACGGACGCUAAUACCGCAUACGUCCUACGGGAGAAAGCAGGGGACCUUCGGGCCUUGCGCUAUCAGAUGAGCCUAGGUCGGUUAGCUAGUUGGUGAGGUAAUGGCUCACCAAGGCGACGAUCCGUAACUGGUCUGAGAGGAUGAUCAGUCACACUGGAACUGAGACACGGUCC
rnacentral:rRNA from 12 species